GAUGAACGCUGGCGGCGUGCUUAACACAUGCAAGUCGAACGAAGCUGCCUGGAGGAAGUUUUCGGAUGGAAUUUAGGUAGACUUAGUGGCGGACGGGUGAGUAACGCGUGGAUAACCUGCCUUAUACAGGGGGAUAACGGAGAGAAAUUUCCGCUAACACCGCAUAAGACCACAGCACCGCAUGGUGCAGGGGUAAAAUAUUUAUAGGUAUAAGAUGGAUCCGCGUCCGAUUAGCUAGUUGGUGAGGUAAAGGCCCACCAAGGCGACGAUCGGUAGCCGGCCUGAGAGGGUGAACGGCCACAUUGGGACUGAGACACGGCCCAAACUCCUACGGGAGGCAGCAGUGGGGAAUAUUGGACAAUGGGGGAAACCCUGAUCCAGCGACGCCGCGUGAGUGAAGAAGUAUUUCGGUAUGUAAAGCUCUAUCAGCAGGGAAGAAAAUGACGGUACCUGACUAAGAAGCCCCGGCUAACUACGUGCCAGCAGCCGCGGUAAUACGUAGGGGGCAAGCGUUAUCCGGAUUUACUGGGUGUAAAGGGAGCGCAGACGGCAAUGCAAGUCUGAAGUGAAAGGCGUGGGCUCAACCCAUGAACUGCUUUGGAAACUGUAUAGCUUGAGUGUCGGAGGGGUAAGCGGAAUUCCUAGUGUAGCGGUGAAAUGCGUAGAUAUUAGGAGGAACACCCGGAGGCGAAGGCGGCUUACUGGACGACAACUGACGUUGAGGCUCGAAGGCGUGAGGAGCAAACAGG
rnacentral:rRNA from 1 species